UAUUUUUUAUUUUAUGUUUUUAUCAUUUUAAUUAUCUCGAAAUUAUCUGCUGAUUCACGAUGUCCACGUUCACUUAUUUGACUUGAUUUUGCAUUUGUAAUUUGUGGAUCUAUUCGUUUUUGUAAUUUUUCUUUAAAAUUUCUCGCGUUGAUCUCGUGUUCUAGAUCGGAUAAUUGGAAGCUGACAUUGACGUUAAAUUUAGUCAUAUUUGUAGAUCUUUAUGACCAUUGAGCAUUUAAUUUUAAUUAGGACUGUUUGAUAUCUUUGAAAUUCGAUGAAAUUGUGAUGGCAUUAAUUGAAAUUAAUCUUUGAAUGCUUUCGAUAUGCGAGUUUUUAAGAGUAAGUUAAUAUAUAUUAUUUUUCUGUCAAUGGAGUUGUUUUAUUUAUUUAUUUGUUGUUCUAUUAUGGUACUUUAAUCAUCGCAAAAUUUAGAAUCAUUAAUAAUGAGAAAUUCUGGUGGGAUGAAAUAGUUUUAUGAAGCUCAUGCUGAUGGUGAUUAUUUUAGCUUAAGCUUCAUAUUAAACUGUUGAUUUUUUUUGGGGGGGGGGGAGAACUGAGGAAGCCUGUCAAUAUUUAUAUAUGGCAUUGGAGAUUCGUCUCUGGUCUGUCAAUUAGGAAUGUAGGUUACAACUAAUAACAAAAAGAUUGUGAAUACUUGAAUUUUCAGCCAAGUCACUACACGUUAAAAUAGACUUAUUUUUUCUGAAUUUAUGAAUCAUUUGAAUUUUUAUAGUUUGAAAAUCCUUUUUAAGUUACAAUUCAACUGAUUAGUGUGUUUAUGGAGCAGUAGUUAGGCAAUUAUGAUUGUGGUCUCUAUUUCGUCGGGGGAACAGUGAGAAUGUGGGAGAGUCUGUGAGAUUUUUUGGCAUGCAUUAAUUAAUCAUUCACGAAUUAUACUCAUCUGUUGGACUUGGGAUGUUUUGUUUCUUGUCAUGUUAUUAUCCCAUAGAUAAAUUUGUUCAAGCUUUCAAUCGCACAGCAGGAUGAUACCCUGUUUUACAUGGCAAAUGAAGGUAGAAAAAAAAAAUUAAAAUAUGUUCUUAUCCACCUUGAACUUCAGCUCUUUAGAGUAUUUGGCAUGUGUUAAUAAAGUAAUGUGGAGCAUGGUUAACAGCAAUUCGGUUCGUGAAGGUGAGUUAACCACAAAAUAAAUUUUAGGGUGUGUUAAAAAAAAAAAAAAAAGGUCUGCCAUUAUGGUAAGAUUAGAGCCCCGAUGCUGUCGUAAUAUCAACAUGUUGAGUGUAGUUGGUACAAUUUUAUUCUUCUGUAAUUUGUUUUCUCACGUGUACUUACAGAACGUAACUUGCUUUAAUGAUAAACAGGGAAACACAGUUAAGGAUGCUGGAGCCAAAGGGUUCAAUCCAGGAUUGAUAGUGCUGCUGGUUGUAGGAGGGCUGCUGUUGGUAUUCCUCAUUGGCAAUUACAUACUGUACAUGUAUGCACAAAAGACCCUUCCCCCGAAAAAGAAGAAGCCAGUCUCCAAGAAGAAGAUGAAGAAGGAACGACUGAAGCAAGGUGUCUCUGCACCCGGAGAGUAGAAAUUUUAGAUCCGGUUUUGGUUCUUCUCCUUAAAUGUUGAACAUUCAAGUUCGAAUUUUUUCUCCAGAUUUGGUGUCAAGAGAGUUGUCCCAGUUAUUUUCUCUGUUUUCUCAAUACUGGCUAGAAACCUAACCUCAUGAUUAGAAUUGACCCUAUAUUUGGGUAGACUAGGAGGCAAAUGCUGUUUGUCAAUUAUAUGCAGUUUAAUUUUCCUCAUGUUCCCUUUUUUCUCUUAUAUUGCUGCUCUGCUUGAAAGAAAGUGUUAUGCUGUUAUGCUGUAGGGAUUAAAGUUUCGGUUCAUAACCUAUUAGGAUCUAUUGGCUUUCUAGUAACUUGCAUCUGAUUCUAGUAACAUUCAGUUUCAAUUACGGUUGAAUGUUGCUAAUGUCUGCAUAUGAAUUCGAAUGGGAAAGGGGAAACUUGCAUUUUACUUGCACUCUGCUCAGGCCUUAGGGUUAAUCAUGUUCCUUUUGGUGUGUGAUCUUUAUUUCGAAGUAGUGUGGUGCAACAUAAAAGCUAAUAUCGCAUCCAACAAUAAACCUCUUUUAUUAAAAAAAUAGAAACAGAAAAUAUAAUUGAGGUAGGGGGUAGCGAAGUUGGCAACAUUAAUUAACGUAGAUCUCAUGUAAAUUAGAACAUUUUGAUCCAGUGUGUCUGAAAAGAGCUUCGGAUAGUAUUUAAUAAGAUAUUUGCUAAAGAACAGGUAAUUGUGCAUUGCAUGCUAUUUCUUCGAUUAAUUUUUUUCCCAAUAUUUUAGUUUAAAACCACAGUGACCACAUCCAACGUCGUUGGAGCCUUUGGAAAUUCGAGUUAGAUUUUUUUUUCCUUUUUGGCUGAGGAAAUAGAAAUUAAUGACAGAUAAAAUAGGAAGAGAAGAAAUUGAUCAAUAUCGCGGCAAAGCUUAUGUUACAAACACUAUAUCAAACAGCCAAUGCAUAUAGGUCGCUGAUUUUGAUAUUUCUUAAAUUUAAUGGGAAAACUAUUUUAAUGUAAAACGAGGUACAGUCGUAAUAAAUUUAAACAAUUAAUAAAAAAAUUUAAUAUUAAAGAUUAAGAUAUAUUAAAAUGAGAGAUCAUUAAUAUAAUGAGUAAAAAUUCAAUAAAUAUAGAAUUAAAUAAGUUAUAAAUUCAAUUAAAUAAAAAUAAAAAAAUUAUUGAGCAACUUUGUACUAAAUUUGCGAUAAAUAUAAAUGGAAAACUUCAAGAAAAUUAGAGCAAUAACCGUGUUGCCUAGCUGCAGCCUGGUUUAAAAUAAAACUUUAAAACUUAUUGACUUUUUUUUAAUUACUAUAUUUUCUAAGGACUUAAAAAUUUAUAAUCGUAACAAGCUUUGCCCAAUAUAAAUAGGGAUUCGCUUGUAAUGCAGCUGCUGAAUCUUAUGCAGCCGCUUUUUAUUAUUAUUUUUAAUUAGUUUUAUAACAAGAGACCCGUUAUCCCUUAUUUUAAUUUGGUUAUGGUGAAAAACAUUAAAGCUAAAUAUCAUACAGCUACCCUUAUUUUAAAUAAAUGACAAAAUAAUCAAUUUAAAUUAUGGAACUACCAAAUACCCCCUCACUUUACAAGAAAAUAUAUUUAAAAAAUGAGGCAUAUUUUUUCUCAAAAUAAGUGACUAAGUAAAUAAACAUAAUAUAAAUUAUUAAAUAUCUUUUAUUAUAUUUAUAAAUUUAAUGAUAUUUUGCAUAAAAAAAUAUCGUAUUAUUUUAUUAAUGUUUUGAUAGGUCAAUGCAAUCUAAAUAUCUAGACCCAUAAUUUAUCAGAUUUAGGAAGAAAUCAAUUCCACAAUACGUAUAGAGUGAUUCAAAACUCUACUCACGCAUGAGAAUAGUUUUUGUCCAACUAUUGGAUAAUCAUCAAACAAUUAUCUUGUUAAUUAUAUCAAACAUUAUAAUUACUACCAAAUAUUAUUUUAUUAUUAUUAUUAAUUUAAUACUAAUGGCCAAUAUUAUUGUAUAAUAUGUAUAGACAUAUAUAAGAUAUCUCAAUCUCUUAUGUAAAUUAAUUCAUAAAAAUAUGUGAAAUUAAUAUAUUCUUUUAUACUGCAUAUUUUGAUGGUUACAUUUAUUCACUAUUUUCAAGUUACACUAUUUUCUAAAAUACUUAUAAUGGACUCUUCUAUAUGUUAAAUGUAAUGUUAAUUUUUUUAUCUACUGCUUUUAGUAGUAUCAUAAUUAAUGAUUUAUAAUAUUAAAUUUAUUUUUUAUGUUGUUAGUAACCAUUAUUACUUUGUUAGUCAAUAUUAAAUUGAUUAAAAUAAACUCAACUAUGAUACUUAUUAUAUCAAUAUUAGAUGUUUAUUAUUAGAAUGUGUAUAUGGUCUAGAAUCUAUAUAUAUGAUGUUAUUUUAAUUUUAAUAAUGUCACUAUUUAUAUUAUUCAUUUAUUAAUAUUCUUUUAAAGGUAGGGCAUAUGAGAGUCUAAAUAUAAUUAUUAACUCUUACCUUCCACAUGAUUUAACUUGGGACAUAUACCAUAUUUUCAUAAAUAAUUACAUUUAUAUCUUUUUGGAUAAUUAUGCCCUAUGAUCAUGGUGACAUAAAUUCACAAUGUAAUUAUCAAUGUAACAAAGAUAAAUAUUAUUUUUUUAUUAGUUAGCGUAGCGACAACUAAAUUUUCUCCUUAUCCAUGUGAGUGAGUUUGAACCCUUAACCAAGUGGCACCCACAAUAAUAAUUAAAAUUUGAAUACAACUAAUAAUGUCGUAUUUAUUAUAUUUAUUGUUAUAUAUUUUAAGCAUGACACUAUUACUAUUUUUUAGAUAAUAAAAUCAAGGGUCACUAAAAUAGAGCAAUUAAAAAUAAGUGGCAUUUAGCACAAGUAUUCACGGAUUAGAUUUUGUGAAUUGGACAUCAAUCGAUAUCCGAUCCAUGAUUUUGCGAAUUAUAAACUUUCAAUCCAAUCUAAUCCAUGAAUUGAUGAAAUUCAUUGUAAAUCCAGCUCAUACCUUUGGGGAUAACCCAAUUCAUAUCCAAUCCACCAUUUUAUUGAUUGGUUUACAGAUAAAAUUUUUUUAAUUGUGUCCAAUCCAUGAACUAAUUAAAUAAAAAAGCCUAAUAUAGAAAUAAUGUUACUACUGAUUAGAUUCAUAAUUGAAUAAGAUUUAAAUAAAUUAAUUGUCUAAAUAAAGCGAGAAGAAUACAUUCAAAAUUUUAAUAUAACACACUGAGAAGGAAAAUACCACAUUUGUUUAUAUCAAUCCAUGAACAUUAGCUAAAAUUAUCUAUCUAAAUCUAUACAAAAGUUGAAACUUGAGAGUUUGGAUGAUUUGUCAAAAUAUCCUCCUAUAAUUUGUCAAAAAUGCUUUAGAAUUUGUACUAUUUAAGAAGUUAUAUUUGUUUAUUUAAUUUUUUUUAUUUUGUAAUAUUAUUGGAUAAUAUAUAAUAUGGUAUUAAUUUAUCUUAACUUAUUUAUCCAUUAGUAAUUAGUAAUGACACAAUUAUAAAUUUUAUUUUUUAAUUAAAUAAAUAUAUUUUUUACAGAUUCAUGGAUUUUUGCAUAUUUGCAUAAGCAAAUUUAUAUCUAAUCCAUUAAUUGUGGAUUUUUAAAUUUUCAAUCUAAUCUAAUCCAUCAAUCUACAGAUUGAAUUUUUAUGGAUCGGGUUUUUGCGAAUCAAAUAUAUUGAGCAGAUUGGAUUGGAUUUUGAACUCUCCUAGUAUUUAGAAUAUAAAUUAUAAAAAUAAGUAUAAUCAUAUUAAAUUAAUUUACUAAAUCAAGUAAAUUAAAAUGAAAUGAAUAAUUUUUCAUUUAGGCGGGCAAAACUGCCACUAAAUGAAAUACUAACAAAAUUUAUUUUUAAUGUAUAAAAUUGAAAAUUUUUAAAUUUUUAUUAAAAGUAUAAAUACUUCAUAUUUUGCUUCAUGAGAAAUCCUAGCCGCUUUAACUAAAAUUCUUCAAUUGAUCUUUGUUAAAAUAGUAAGGGGUGCAAACAUAAUUCAUCUUAUUGAUAUUAUUGUUAUUAAAAAAAAUAUUAUUAUUAGUUAAAAAAGGACCUGGAACAUGCACCGAUGUUGUCAAAAUAUAAUGAAAAUAAUAGGAAUAUAAAACCAUGAUAAGGUGUAAAAGAGUAGGAAAACUUAACCUAAAAAUGGGAUCAAUUUAAUAAAAAGCUGAAAUAUUAUUAAAAAAAAAGGAAUUUAUAAGGUGAACUUAGAACAUCACCCAAAAUAUUGGAAUACACAUAAAAGAGUAGGAAUAUGUAACAAAAAGAUCGUGAAAAUAAAGUGGAAAUCGAUUAAUGAAAAGUGGGGGUACCAAAAAAUAAACUUGAAACGUCCACUCAAAAUAUUAGAAUUCAAUGUAAAAGAGUGGGAAUAUAGAACUAAUCAAUGGUGAUAAAAAGAGUGGAAGAGCUCAACCCAAAAGUUUGAACAAGUUAGUAAGAAUUUGAUAAAUUCUAAUGAGAAGUAGAGAUAUAAAAAAUGAACUUGAAACAUCUAAAUAAAAUAUUGCAAUUCAAUAAAAAGAGUAGGAAUAUAGAACCAAAAUGUGGCAGAAAAAAAGUUGAAGAGAUUAAUUCAAAAGUUGGAAUAACUUAUAAAGCAAUUGAUAAAUUCCAAUUAGAAUUAGGGAUCUUAAAAAUAAACUUAAAAUAACAGCCCAACAUGUUAGAAUUUAGUAAAAAGAGUAGAAAUAUAUAACCAAACAGUGAUGGGAACCAAAGUUGAAGAGUUUAACCCAAAAGUUGUAACUACUUACCAAUAAUCUGAUAAAUGAUAACAAUAAGUAGGAAUUUAGAAAAAUGAACUUGACACAUGCUCUUUGCUGGAAUUCAAUUAAAAGAGUAGGAAUAUAGAACCAAAAAGUGGUGGAAACAAGAGUUGAAGACUUAACCUAAAAGUUGGAAUAGAGUCAUCAAGAAUAUGAUAAAUCCAACGGUGAGUAGAGGUUUAAAAGAUAAACUUAAAGCAUCCACACAAAAUCUAAGAAGUCAAUCAGAGUAUAAAUAUAGAUCUAAAAAGUGGUGGAAACAAGAGUUCAAGAAUUUGACUUAAAAGUUAGAAGAACUUACCAAGAAUCCGAUAAAUUCCAACAGUAAAAAUAAACUUGAAAUAUCCACGCCAAAUGCUGGAAUUCAUUGAAAAGAGUAAGAAUAUAGAACAGAGUUAAAGAUCUUAACUUAAAAGUUGAAAUAACUUACCAAGAAUAUAAUAAAAUGCGAAGGGAAAUAGAGAUAUAAAAGUUGAACUUGAUAUAUCAACCAAAAUGUUGGAAUUCAAUAAAAAGAGCAUGAAUAUAGAAUUAAAAAUUGGUGGGAAUAAGAGUUAAAAAGUUUAACCCAAAAGUUGAAAUAACUUACCAAAAAAUUGCUAAAUAUUUACGAGAAGUAAGGAUUUAAAAACUGAACUUGAUAUAUGUACUCAAAAUAUUGAAAUUCAAUAACAAGAGCAGGAAUAUGGAACCAAAAAGUAGUGGAAGAUAAGUUGGAGUAACUUAUCAAAAACUAGAUAAUAUCUAAGAGAAUAUAGGGAUAUAAAAAGUAAACUUGAAAUAUCCACCUAAAAAGUUGGAAUUUGAUGAAAAAAAUAAAAAUAUGAAACAAAAAAGUAGUAGGAAAAUGAGUUAAAAUAACUUACCAAAAUUUAGAUAAAUCACAAAUGAAAAUAGGAAUUUGAAAAAUAAACUUGAAACAUAUGCUACAGAUAUUGAAAUAUGAAAAAUUAAGUAGGAAUAUAACUAUUUUGUGACUUAUCUAUAGUAUUUUUAUAAUUUUUAUGCUAUUUAUAAGUUUAAAAUUAUUACAAUCUUUUGCCUCAUAUAAUUACAAUUUUAUCUUUUUUUGUCUAUUUUUCAUAAUUUUUUCACAUUAAAAAUAAGUAAAAAUAUAAUGUUUAUACCGGUUAAAAAUCGCUUGUACCGGUUGGUGCACGGAGCUGUAUGAGAUAGGGCAUUGCAUGGUAGGUUGACUCUAUUUUAUAGAGCAUACCUUUUAGUUAUAUAAAAAGAUGUGAAGUGUAAUCAUGUGGAGUUGGCAGAAAUAAUCGAUAUAUGCAAAUCGGUAUGGUCAACACAAAACAUUCAAAUGGCCAAAUAUUACAAACAGAACAGAUCUCAGCCUCAGCCUCACAACCUUCAAUCUUAAUCCAUUGUAACAGUUGAUUUCUUUCAAAAUUUCAGCAUUAACUAUAUGAAUAAAUAAAGCGAAUAUGAAUAAUAAUGUAAAGUGGAAAAAAAGAAAUUAAUCUAAGUUAUUUUAUGCAAUGAUAUUGUGAAAUCUCACUUGAAUUUUAUUUUGAAAAUUUAUAAUUUUAUAUCAGGCACAUGAUGAUUAACGCAAAAGAAUUCUAAUAACAGAAUUCAUGCAUGAGGGGAGAGUUUGAUUUUAUUAGUGAUAGGCAUGUGAAGUUAUAUAUAUAUAUAUAAACCAUCCCAAAUGAUGUAAUAUGUGAUGUAUCAUUUGUACUUAAUUGAUUUUUACAAGUACCAACGAAUUAAUUAUAUUAUCAUGCCAUUUAUUUGAUGUGUGUCACAUUAUUUAAAAGAGUACUACUAAAUGUCUAGAACGGCAAGAGAUAGACGAGUGAAUCUCUCACAUUUUUAUGAUUUAAAAAAUUAAAAAAUUAAUAAAAUAAUAAAGAAUUAAGAUGAAAUCGAAACAAAAUCUCUUAUCAGUUUAUCCUCACUCCAUCUUCGCAAAGUACCUUCCCACUCUCAAAUGACUCUCUUGAACAGGACCGUUGCCAAUGACGACAUGACUAUCGACGAUGACAUGACCCCUGCCACCAUGCCGACAACAACAUAAUCAUUGCCAAAGGUAUUUGUUUGCGGCUGAUUUUGGGUCAAUGAAAGAAAACCACAAAACCAAACCAAGAACAAUAAAUUUAUUUUUGUCGGGGAGUGGGGUGCCUCGCUUGUUCGACACGUGCGAGCUGUUUAGGCUUUCUGUGGAGUGUAGGAGGAUUGAGAUGGCGAUGGAUAUGGAAGGGGUCUGACUUCAGGUGCGGAGGGCUGGCAAAAAUCAUCUUAAACCUGCGAAACAACCAAAAAGCGGUCAGAGGUGGAGCCGGGGGUGGUCGACGACCAAACUCUGAUACUCAAGUCACAGUUGGGUUAUCUCAGGUUAAAGAGCUUGCAAGCUCUCGAUAAUAGAGGUCUUAAGGUUGAAGAAACCUUAGUUUUUCCUGGUGUGUGUGUUAACUUAAUAAAAAUUAAACUUGAGUAUUUAUAUGGUAUACUCCGGUCGCCGCACCACCUAGCAUUAUACUAUUGGCGUUCCCUGCUGUCAUGUCAUGAAUAUUCUUAUGUUCAUGUGUAUGGCAGCUUAGGCGUUUCAAAAAUAUUCAUGGAGAGCAAGUUUGAGGCAUAUUCACGUGCUAGGCGUAAUGGAGUGGUCCCGCGUACCUCUGCAAUUCCAUUGUAAUUUUGCAGGUGUGGCAGGAAAAGCUGGCGGUCCCAACUGUCAUAAUAUCAAACUUUUGGCUGAUUCACUAGCGUGACAGGCGGUUAUCUCCUCUUUUGUAGCACAAGAUUUCCUCACCGAUUCCUUAUUUUUUGACACGUAUUCAGCAGAUCUAUUUUAGAUUCGGGGCCCACUUAUCCCUUAACAUUUUUCUAAAGACUUUUUGUACCCUUACAUGGUGUACUCGAGGUACCCCCGGAAUACCUAGUGUACCUUGGGUACCCAAGGUUCCCGAAGUAAGCUAAUUUCUUAAAUAUCGAUACGUGGUGCUUCAUCAUUGGCCUCAUGUUUCCUUCCCAAACAACAUCCCCAUAGUUUCUUUGUGGCGAAUAUAACUGAGGCACAAGAAACUGUUGGAGGAAUUGCACAUGACACGUGGCGAUAUUUGACCUUUAUUUAUUUAUUUUUUAUUUUUACAAACACUAAACUGAUGCUUGUCUUUAUGUCUCUCCAGCUUCUCUUGGGAAGUGUUAAUCGCUUGACACAUAAUUUGAAUUUGAAAACACCCUUUCUGCAAAAUAAAUUUGACCUCUCUUUUUAUGAGGUACGAUUUGUCAGGUUUAAUUAAAACAUGUUCCUCUCCUUUUAUGUUACCACUUUAUUUUGAAAAUCCCAAAAAAUCUCUCAUUAAGUUUAAUUGCUUCCAGUGGCUUCUUCUUGCUCCCUGGCUUUCAUCUUUUCCUUAGCUUUAUUUCUCAUUCCUUUUUGGCUUAUCGUCUUUUUCUUUAGUUCGUCUUCUCCUGGGCUCCAUUAAUAUUCCAUAAACAGGUAAAAAAUCUUGUUUUAUUUCUCUUUUUCCUUUUUUUUUAAAAUGCCUUUUCAUGUCUCAUUUUCCAUAGUUUCUUUCAUUUUUUUCUCUUUCUUUCUCUUUUCUUCUUUCUUCUUCUGGUCAACUCUCGUUUUCCUCUCUUUUUUCUUUUUUCUUUUUCUUUCCUUUCUUUUUCUUUUCUCUUUCUCCUUUUCCUUCCCUCUCGAUUGCACUUCUCUUUGCGCGUUUCCGGCGGACUCUCGGCGGUUGUUGCAGUGGUCUUCGGCGCCCGAUCUGUCCGGCACGCGGCUAUGUCUCGUGACUUCUGGCGGGUUUGGCGCGGUACUUCUCUCCCCCACAUUGGCUUCCUCGCUUUUUUUCUUCUUUUUUUUUUGGCCGACUAUUCUUCUCCUGGCACAUUUUCGGAGGGACUUUCGGCAAUCGUUGUUGCGGUUUUCAAUGCUGAAUCCAGUCGACAGUGGGUUGCAGCUUCCGACGGGAUCCGUUCUUCCUCUACUGCGUUUUUUUCCUGUCUCCCUCUUUUUUUUUUAUCAUCUUGACUCCUUCAUUUUUUUUAAUCAUCCAGGCUCCCUUUUUUUUUUUUAAUCAUCCAUACUCUUUUUUUUUAUCACCUUGACGGCUUCUUAUUUAAAAAAAAAAAAAUCUCUAACGAGUUUCAUUGUGCCCAUGACAGCUUCUGCACAGCUUCAUCUUUUAAGCAAUUUCUUGCGAUCCACGACUUUUCUUGGCGGUUUACAAUCUCUUUAUCUUCAAAUUUACGUUCUUUGGCGACUUCAAUUUACUACUCUUGAUAUGAAUUUUUAUAUCUAUUUCAGUUUCUUUAUUCUGAAAAAUACUGUUGUGGCUUUGUUUCUUGAUUUCAUGCAAAGUGUUGGUACUUUUUCUUUUUGUUUAUGCUUUUAUUGGUGGAUCUUGGUGUUUCACUUGUGAUAAAUGAGGUCUAAAGUUGUGAGGGCAUGUUUUGAUGUGGAGAUUUCUUUUCAACUUGUGUAUUGUGUUUUUAGGGGAAUAAGAUGGGGAGAAAAAGAGUUGGGAUAAGGGGUCGAAAUAUUGUUGACGAUUUGGGUGGUGAGGAGGCCCUAUGUUCUGAGUCAGCCCCUUUUGUAUCCAUUAGUGAUGACAAUAGGUCUCCUUCGGGUAGCCCUAAAUUGUCUUGAAAUGAUCCUCGUAGUAAAUCUAAAACUAGGGGGAAGCAACCGGUUAGGGCAGCCUGUAAGAAAAUCCAUGCAAAAAAUUCCAGACCCAAAUCUCAUACCCCUGUCAGCAUCCCUGAACCUCCCGUGGUCUCCCCCUCUGUCUCUGUAGCUCAUAAGCUCUAUUCACUAGGGGGUAGGCCAGCUACUUCAAGAGAUUUAGAAAGGGUUAGAGUUAAAUAUAAUAUACCUCCUUCUGUCCGCCUUAGGGUAUCUCGCAAGGGUAAGCAGCCCGAGCACCCCCAUUCUGAGAGUGUAGCCCUUCAUAUUGACCUUUUUCAACUUAGGUCUCUGUUUGCCUCUUCAGCCAUUUUUUAGAAAAAUAUUCAAUGAGAUGCAGAUUACGCCCGGACAUUUAUCUUUACCCAGUUGGAGAUUGCUCUCGGGUUUGGAGGUUCUGUGGCUGGAUAUAUUUGGGGAGGAUAUUUCUUUCAGAUAUCUGAGGGGGCUUUAUCAGUUAAAGAAACCUUCUAGUUUAUCUGUAGCUUAUUUUACUACUUGAUGGUUCUUGGUAGUUUGGUGAGACCGGAUCCCUUGCUGAAAAGGGGCUAUAAAUAUGGGUGGUUUGUGGCUAAAGGUGAGUGGGGGAGGAGUAUACCAGCAGGGAAUGAAGUUGUGCAAGUUCGGAACUUCUUCAAUAAAGAUAAUAUGUAUUUAUUUCCUCAUCUCUGCCUUUUUUAUGUAUAUAUACAUGUCUCGCAUGAAUUUUCUUCUUAUUCGUUGUUUCUUGGGGCUUUUUCAGACAUCACUUGGUCUAAAGGGACAUGCCCAGUUCAUGAAGUGGGGAGAAAAGUGAGUGGUGUCAUAGAGAAAUUACGGUCUUUCUAGAGUGAGGGUGAUGUUCUGAGCACUACCCGGCUGGCGAGAGCUGGUUUGACUGAGGAGAGUCUUCCAUCUUCUUUGGGGGACGAUUCACGUAUGGCUAUAUGGUGUUGCUGGGGUACCUUGCCUUCACUGGUUCUGUGGGUUGCCCCAUCUUUACACAAACUUUUUUUUUUUUAUUUUGGCAACCAUAUCUUAUUUUUCUUAAUGUGUCUUUUCGCCUAUGACGAUUCUGAUGUUCAUUUUUCUGAUCCAUCUCUCAAUCUCACUUUUUUUUUUUGCUUGAUGUUGGAUAGGUAUGGACCAUUUCGCCGAAGAUUUCGACGCCUUCUUCAGUCACAUGAGCGGCAGCUCAUCCAAUACCUUGGGUACCUCAACAAAUGGUUUUUGACCUCCCAUCGUUCCAGACGCCAAAGACAAAUUGCAUGUUUCCUCUUUUGGGAGUUCUCAGGGUACUUCGGCUACCCACAACAGGAAGCUUGGCUCUCUAUUCACGGUUCUUGGAGAUCUUAUGGAGGGUGAGCUUGACCCGGUGGCAAACAAGCGAAUAUCUCAUCUGGCCGAUUGCUUCCUCCAUUCCUCCGAGUGCAUUUCUACAGACAUGACCAUGGAGGCGGAUAGAUUGGACUUAAAUGAGCGCUCAAGGCUUGUCAUGACGUGAGUGCCUUUCUCUUUAUAUAUAUAUAUAUAUAUAUACCAUCCUGACUCAUUUUUCUUCUCUUUAUUAUUAUUAUUAUUAUUAUUAUUAUUAUUAUUAUAUAUAUAUAUAUAUAUUCUGUGUAGGCGGCCGUCUACCUUAGUCACAGUCUCCAAGAUUUUAGUGGCACCUCGGCUGCACAUACCGAGGUAGAGAAGUUGCGAGGUGAGAUCAGACUCGGCCAGUCUCAAGAAGAGAAGCUUGGAGAGGUGGUCAUGGCUUUGCAAAGGCACUUGGACGACCACACCCAGGAGAACAGUCGAAUGUCUAAGAAGUUAGAAGAGGUGGAGUCUAAGCACGACAAGCUAUUAUCUCGCCAACAGGAGAUGAUGGACAAAGCUUUUACUCUCAUCAUGACUGAGGUCUGGAGCGUCGACCCAGAGCCGGUGGUACCCCGGGUGGAGAAAUGGGUGGAUAAAUCGGUCAUCCUGAAAGCGAUCGAGGACAAGAGGGUAACUCAGGCUCCACUAUCUCACAGCCCACAGCAGUCUUCUGGGGUACCCUAGGUACCCCAAGCGAAUCUCUCUUCUGUUGCUGUUGUUUAUGAGGGUAGCAACUCUUUAACGGCGGGUGUUCCUGCUGAUGCCCUUCGUUGAGGGGAGCGGUGAAGAGGAUGUUCCCCCUUCUGCGUGAUCCUACUUGUUAUUCAGAGUUUUAUCCCGAGAUGUUUCAGCAGUUUUCUUUCUUUGCUUCUGUACCUUUUGUAGUAUGGUAUCCCCCCUUGAUAUGUUGGGAUAGUUGUCUUUUGGAAGAUUGCCUUAGCAAUCUCGCUACUUGUUCACAUUAAACUUCCGCAAUAAACUUGAUUUGGCAUGCCAUUGAAUUCCUUGCUUAUGAUUAAUUUGUGUAGACUUGUGGGGGUUCCUCGGGUAUCCCAGGUACCCCCUGAUCUGUUUUUGGUGAUUUGUCGAGAUUUUCGUAGAUAUGCUCGCUGCUCGUCUUAAUAAAGAUUAUGGCGUAUCUCAAAUAAUUUAAUAAUUCUUGCAUCAUCAUAAUAUAAAAUGAAAUUCAUAAUUGGCGCAACGAGGAUGUAAAUAAAGAUUAUGACGUAUCUCAAAUAGACUUGUGGAGUUUCCAUGGGUAACCCAGGUACCCUAUUUUUUUUUUUUUUUGUUCGGGGACCUUCUUGGCCCCCUUUCUUACAGAAAUGGUCAAAAACAUGCUUGUUUUGCCAUCUGCUUCUGGUCAAUAUUUAAUGAAAUAAUGCGAAUAGAAGUGCAUGCUUGCCUACCUCAUUUCUUUUAGGCAUCUAACUCUUGUGAUUGCCAUUUGUCUAUUCUUUAAUUGGCUCAAGUUAAAGAAUGGAGGUGUGGGCGUGUGUAUACCUUAACGAAGUCUCAUGGCACUAGGGUAUGCUGGUUUACCUCGCCCUCGGUCUUCUCUGACCCUCCCUCUUUAAAUUUGUUGUAUUCUUUCUUAUUGACUUUUACUUUGAACAGAUCUGAACAAAUCUUCAUGAUCAAAUCAGGUCAGUUACCCCAGGUACCUCAAAUUAUCUUGAAAUGGAGUAAUUAUAGUUGAAAGGUGUAUACAAGACAUGACGUACUAAGAUAGAAUCACAUUAAUGGUGAAAGUUUAACCAUAAUCACAUUCGGUAAUCAAAAGGAGAACAUUACAUAAGCCUAACUCAUUGUCCCAAUGAGAAUAGGAAACUGUAUAGAUAUCCACUCUCUGGGACUUAGGGAAUUAAAAAUUUCACUUGCACAUGUAGGGUACCCUAAGUACUUUUUAUGGCUUUACCACAUAACACACAUAGUAAAGAAAAUAUGAGAUAGAUAAAGUGAACGAUAAGGUUUAAGACACUGUCCUCAUAUUAGUAGUACUUUCUUAGCAUUGCGGCGUUCCAAGGAUGCUUGACGAUUAUUCCAUCCAUGUGAAGUAGCCUGUACACCCACAAUCCUACCAGCUUGUCUAUGCGAUAUGGGUCUUCCCAAUUUGCUUCGAAAAAGACCUCCGAGGGUAUCCGAGUGUUCUGAGUUACCCUUCGUAGUACUAAAUUCUCUUUCUUGAAUGAUCUGGGGGGUACCCUUUGUUAUAUAAAUCUGAAACGCGGUGUUGGUAUAUUGCAACCUUCAAUUCUGCUUUAGCCUUUUUUUCUUCAACAAGAUCAAGAAUGGAUGCAAUUACAGAGGCAUUCUCGGCUUCAUCGAAGUAUGCGGUUCUGUGAAAGGGUAUCCCGAUUUCUGCUGGAAUGACCACACCAGUCCCUAAUGCUAGAGAAAAUAGGGUUUCCCUGGUUGAAGUAUUCUAAGUUGUCCGAGAGGCCCAAAGAACGCCGGGUAGCUCGUCUACCCAAGCUCCAUUCCUUUCCUCCAGCUUCUUUUUUAGGAUAUCAUUGAUGAUUUUUUUGAUGGCUUCCACCUAUCCAUUAUAUUGCGGGUGAGCCAGAGAAGCAAAUCGGUUGGCUAUCCGAAGCUCCGAGCAGAAACUCUGAAAUUUUUUAUUAUCGAAUUGCUUCCUGUUGUCGCUGACAAUUGCAUUAGGGAUACCAUAUCUGCAUAUAAGGUUCCUCCAAACGAAAUCAGUGGUUUUUCUCUCGAUAAUACUUGCCAACGGCUUCGUUUCUACCCACUUUGUGAAAUAGUCAACGACUACAAUUGCAUAUUUAUCUUGCCCUCUCCGGGUUGGCAGUGGGCCAAUGAGAUCUAUACUCCAAACAACAAAUUGCUACGGAGAAGACAUGACAGUUAACUUUUCUGGUGGAAAGUGGGGUACCUUGGCAAAUCUCAGGCACUUAUCAUAACUCUUGACCAUGUUUUUAGCAUCCUCCCGCAUCGUAGGCUAAUAAAAUCCUUGACGAAGGGCCUUUUGUGCCAAUGAUUGUGGUCUAUAGUGGUUACCAUAAAUUCUUUUGUGUAUCUCUCUCAUGAUAUAUUCGGCUUGUUCAUCUCCCAAGCACUUUAAGUAAGGGAGGGUAAACCCUCUUCUGUAUAAGGUAUCCUCGAUGAGACAAUACUGUGCAGCUUUAUAUUUUAGCCUCCUGCCUUACUCUUGUCUGAGGGCAGAUCCCCACUCCUGAGGUACCUUAUGAUUGGUUGCAUCCAUGGUACCCCAGCAGUUAUCGACCCUAAUUCUUCUGGCUCAGGUAUAUUAACACUAGAUGAGGGUAUAUACUCCGUAGUGAUUGGACCAACUGACUGAGUUGCAUCAAAGGACGCCAUUUUGGCGAGGUUGUCAGCUUCACAAUUUUCUAAUCGUAGAACUCUUCCCACCUUGACCUCAACAAAUUGGGAUAUUAAUUCUCUGGUUCCCCCAAUGUACCCCUUCAUAUUUUCUUCUUUAACAUGAUAUUAUGAGUUGAUCUGACCGACCACCAAUUGAGAGUCACUCUUGAUAUGAACCAUUUUUACACCAAACGCCUUCGACAUCCUUAGCCCCGCUAUUAUAGCUUCGUACUCGGCCUCGUUGUUUGAGGCCUUGAACGCGAAUUGCAAAGCAUAACAUAGCUUUACUUUACCUGGAUCGAUGAUUAUUACUCCCCUGCUGUACCGUACAUCCGCCUUGGCCGUACAGCAGAAUUUUUAUAGUUUGAAAAUCCUUUUUAAGUUACAAUUCAACUGAUUAGUGUGUUUAUGGAGCAGUAGUUAGGCAAUUAUGAUUGUGGUCUCUAUUUCGUCGGGGGAACAGUGAGAAUGUGGGAGAGUCUGUGAGAUUUUUUGGCAUGCAUUAAUUAAUCAUUCACGAAUUAUACUCAUCUGUUGGACUUGGGAUGUUUUGUUUCUUGUCAUGUUAUUAUCCCAUAGAUAAAUUUGUUCAAGCUUUCAAUCGCACAGCAGGAUGAUACCCUGUUUUACAUGGCAAAUGAAGGUAGAAAAAAAAAAUUAAAAUAUGUUCUUAUCCACCUUGAACUUCAGCUCUUUAGAGUAUUUGGCAUGUGUUAAUAAAGUAAUGUGGAGCAUGGUUAACAGCAAUUCGGUUCGUGAAGGUGAGUUAACCACAAAAUAAAUUUUAGGGUGUGUUAAAAAAAAAAAAAAAAGGUCUGCCAUUAUGGUAAGAUUAGAGCCCCGAUGCUGUCGUAAUAUCAACAUGUUGAGUGUAGUUGGUACAAUUUUAUUCUUCUGUAAUUUGUUUUCUCACGUGUACUUACAGAACGUAACUUGCUUUAAUGAUAAACAGGGAAACACAGUUAAGGAUGCUGGAGCCAAAGGGUUCAAUCCAGGAUUGAUAGUGCUGCUGGUUGUAGGAGGGCUGCUGUUGGUAUUCCUCAUUGGCAAUUACAUACUGUACAUGUAUGCACAAAAGACCCUUCCCCCGAAAAAGAAGAAGCCAGUCUCCAAGAAGAAGAUGAAGAAGGAACGACUGAAGCAAGGUGUCUCUGCACCCGGAGAGUAGAAAUUUUAGAUCCGGUUUUGGUUCUUCUCCUUAAAUGUUGAACAUUCAAGUUCGAAUUUUUUCUCCAGAUUUGGUGUCAAGAGAGUUGUCCCAGUUAUUUUCUCUGUUUUCUCAAUACUGGCUAGAAACCUAACCUCAUGAUUAGAAUUGACCCUAUAUUUGGGUAGACUAGGAGGA
rnacentral:lncRNA from 1 species